UAGGGAAUCUUCGGCAAUGGACGAAAGUCUGACCGAGCAACGCCGCGUGAGUGAAGAAGGUUUUCGGAUCGUAAAACUCUGUUGUUAGAGAAGAACGUUGCAUAGAGUGGAAAAUUAUGCAAGUGACGGUAUCUAACCAGAAAGGGACGGCUAACUACGUGCCAGCAGCCGCGGUAAUACGUAGGUCUCGAGCGUUGUCCGGAUUUAUUGGGCGUAAAGCGAGCGCAGGUGGUUUAAUAAGUCUGAUGUAAAAGGCAGUGGCUCAACCAUUGUGUGCAUUGGAAACUGUUAGACUUGAGUGCAGUAGAGGAGAGUGGAAUUCCAUGUGUAGCGGUGAAAUGCGUAGAUAUAUGGAGGAACACCGGUGGCGAAAGCGGCUCUCUGGACUGUCACUGACACUGAGGCUCGAAAGCGUGGGUAGCAAACAGGAUUAGAUACCCUGGUAGUCCACGCCGUAAACGAUGAGUGCUAGUUGUUU
rnacentral:rRNA from 1 species